GGGCGCGUAGCUCAGCGGGAGAGCGCUCCGUUCACACCGGAGAGGUCGCUAGUUCAAUCCUAGCCGUGCCCACCA
rnacentral:tRNA from 1 species